AUGGUCAUCGGUUGCAACACCAUGGGUAUCAUUGGUGGCUACCUGCACAGCAACCCAGACCUGUACGUGGCCGGCUGCUACUCCUACUGCCAGGGCAUCAACAGCACGUCCAACGGUGCGCCGUGCACUAGGAAGGGCUGCUGCGAAACCACCAUCACCCCAAACCUCACCAACUUUGCGGCGCUCUUGAUCAUCAACCAGAGCAGUGUAUGGACAUUCAACCCAUGCUUCUACGCUAUGCUUGCAGAGGUUGGAUGGUACAGCUUCAGUCAACAGGACCUUGUCGGGCGUCUUGGGUUCAUCAACAAGAGAGCCAAGAGAGGUGUCCCUGUUAUUUCUGACUGGGCCAUCAGAAAUGGCUCCUGCCCAAAGGAUGGAGCAACGGUGCCAAUGGGUUAUGCAUAUGUCAGUUCAAACAGCUAUUGUGUGGGUGCAACCAAUGGCCCAGGCUACAUGUGCAACAUCAAUCUCUAA
rnacentral:rRNA from 1 species